GCGGGCGUGGUGAAAUUGGUAGACGCGCCGGACUCAAAAUCCGGUUCCGCAAGGAGUGUCGGUUCGAGUCCGACCGCCCGCA
rfam:Sphingobium baderi LL03 contig088, whole genome shotgun sequence.